rnacentral:rRNA from 1 species
GUACGCAAGCGGUUUGUUAAGCGAGAUGUGAAAGCCCCGGGCUCAACCUGGGAACUGCAUUUCGAACUGGCAAACUAGAGUGUGAUAGAGGGUGGUAGAAUUUCAGGUGUAGCGGUGAAAUGCGUAGAGAUCUGAAGGAAUACCGAUGGCGAAGGCAGCCACCUGGGUCAACACUGACGCUCAUGUACGAAAGCGUGGGGAGCAAACAGGAUUAGAUACCCUGGUAGUCCACGCCGUAAACAAUGUCUACUAGAAGCUCGACUCUUCGGAGUUGUUUUCAAAGCUAACGCAUUAAGAG